rnacentral:rRNA from 1 species
GGUUUGAUUAUGGCUCAGAUUGAACGCUGGCGGGAUGCUUUACACAUGCAAGUCGAACGGCAGCACGGACUUCGGUCUGGUGGCGAGUGGCGAACGGUGAGUAAUGUAUCGGAACGUGCCUAGUAAAGGGGGAUAACUACGCGAAAGCGUAGCUUAAUACCGCUACCGCGCCCUUCGGGGGAAAGCGGGGGGACCUUCGCCUCGCACUAUUAGAGCGGCCGAUAUCGGAUUAGCUAGUUGGUGGGGUAACGCUCACCAAGGCGACGAUCCGUAGCUGGUUUGCAGGACGACCAGCCACACUGGGACUGGAGACACGGGCCCACUCCUACGCCGGAGGCAGCAGUGGGGAAUUUUGGACAAUGGGGGGGAAACCCUGAUCCAGCCAUCCCGCGUGUGCGAUGAAGGCCUUCGGGUUGUAAAGCACUUUGGCAGGAGAAGAAACGGGCACGGAUAAUACCCCGUGCAACUGACGGUACCUGCAGAAUAAGCACCGGCUAACUACGUGCCAGCAGCCGCGGUAAUACGUAGGGUAAGCGUUAAUCGGAAUUACUGGGCGUAAAGCGUGCGCAGGCGGUUCGGAAAGAAAGAUGUGAAAUCCCAGAGCUUAACUUUGGAACUGCAUUUUUAACUACCGAGCUAGGAGUGUGUCAGAGGGAGGUGGAAUUCCGCGUAGCAGUGAAAUGCGUAGAUAAGGUGAGGAACACCGAUGGCGAAGGCAGCCUCCUGGGAUAACACUGACGCUCAUGCACGAAAGCGUGGGAGCAAACAGGAUUAGAUACCCUGGUAGUCCACGCCCUAAACGGAUGUCAACUAGCUGUUGGGGCCUUUCGGGCCUUCGGUAGCGCAGCUAACGCGUGAAGUUGACCGCCUGGGGAGUACGGUCGCAAGAUUAAAACUCAAAGGAAUUGACGGGGACCCGCACAAGCGGUGGAUGAUGUGGAUUGUUCGAUGCAACGCGAAAACCUUACCUACCCUUGACAUGUCUGGAAUCCCUGAAGAGAUUUGGGAGUAUUCUCGCAAGAGAACCGGAACACAGGUGCUGUACGGGCUGUCGUCAGCUCGUGUCGUGAGAUGCCGGGUUAUAUCCCGCAACGAGCGCAACCCUUGUCAUUAGUUGCUACGAAAGCGGGCACUCUAAUGAGACUGCCGGUGACAAACCGGAGGAAGGUGGGGAUGACGUCAAGUCCUCAUGGCCCUUAUGUAGGGCUUCACACGUCAUACAAUGGUCGGGACAGAGGUCGCCAACCCGCGAGGGGGAGCCAAAUCCCGAAACCUGAUCGUAGUCCGGAUCGCAGUCUGCAACUCGACUGCGGAAGUCGGAAUCGCUAGCAAUCGCGGAUCAGCAUGUCGCGGUGAAUACGUUCCCGGUCUUGUACACACCGCCCGUCACACCAUGGGAGUGGGUUUUACCAGAAGUAGUUAGCCUAACCGUAAGGAGGGCGAUUACCACGGUAGGAUUCAUGACUGGGGUGAAGUCGUAACAAGGUAA